rnacentral:rRNA from 1 species
GAUGAACGCUGGCGGCGUGCCUAAUACAUGCAAGUCGAGCGAACAGACGAGGAGCUUGCUCCCCUGACGUUAGCGGCGGACGGGUGAGUAACACGUGGAUAACCUACCUAUAAGACUGGGAUAACUUCGGGAAACCGGAGCUAAUACCGGAUAAUAUAUUGAACCGCAUGGUUCAAUAGUGAAAGACGGUUUUGCUGUCACUUAUAGAUGGAUCCGCGCCGCAUCAGCUAGUUGGUAAGGUAACGGCUUACCAAGGCAACGAUGCGUAGCCGACCUGAGAGGGUGAUCGGCCACACUGGAACUGAGACACGGUCCAGACUCCUACGGGAGGCAGCAGUAGGGAAUCUUCCGCAAUGGGCGAAAGCCUGACGGAGCAACGCCGCGUGAGUGAUGAAGGUCUUCGGAUCGUAAAACUCUGUUAUUAGGGAAGAACAAAUGUGUAAGUAACUAUGCACGUCUUGACGGUACCUAAUCAGAAAGCCACGGCUAACUACGUG